ensembl:lncRNA
CCAAGGUGGACAUCAUGUGUUAGUUACCUAAUGGUGAGAAACAAAUGACCACAACACUCACUGGCUGAAAAUAACAAACACUGAUUAUCUCACAAUUUCCGAGGGUCAGGAUCUUGGGAGUGGCGUAGCUGGGUGGUUCUGGCUCGGAGUCUCUCAUGAGAUUUUAGACAAGACAUUGGCCGGCAUCUGAAGUCUGGACUAGGGCUGGAAGAGCCACUUCCCAGACGGCUCACUCACACGGCUGUGGGCAAAGGCCUUCAUUUCCUCUCCGGCUGCUGGCAGGAUGGCUCGGUUCCUCACCACGUGGACCUUUCUGUAGGGAGGCUUGAAUGUCCUCUGACACGGCAGCCCGCUUCUCCGAGAGCAAGUCACCCAAGAGAGGGCAAGAUGGAAGCCACAAUGCCUUUAAGACCUGCCCUCAAAGUCCCGCUCUGUGUUUUCUACCCCAUUCUAUCCGUUAGAAGGAGUCGCUAAAUCCAGCCCACGCACAAGGAGAGGGGAAUUCGAGUCCGUCUGUGGAGGGAGCAGUGUCAAAUUUGUGGGCAUAUUUGUGGACACCACAGCGGGUUUGACUGGAUCCAGGGAUGAAAACGAGCUCUGGCAUUCUCUCUCAAUCUCCCUCUCUCUCCUGCUUCCUUUUCUGCUUCAGCUCCUCCAGCUAAUGAUCUCUCCACAUUGGCGGCAGGAGGAGACGAUGGUUUCUGGCAGCCCCUGGUGUACAUUAUUUCAACUCCCUGACCAACAAGCACUUACCGGUUAUGCUCUCCUGCAUGAGCACCAAGGACCUGGCCACGUGAGUGUGACCAUCAGACCCCGGCAGGGGUCAACACCGGUCAUAGGCCUGCAGAGCUGGGCCGAAGAGCAACGCCGAUCACAGCAGGAACAGCAGUUUUAGAAGCUCCAGGCGCUAAGUGUUCUACACGUGUUAUCUUCCUUGACUCUCCGAGCAGCUCUGGAAGGUAGGUACCAUUACUGUCAUCAUUUUGCAGCUGAGCAAACUGAGGCUCAAAGACGUUGAGUAAAUCGCUCCAGGUCACAACUGAGAAAGCGGUGGUUUUGAACGUGGGUGAUGUGGCUUCUACUCUCCGCUCUCUCUGCUCUGCUGUGUGGACUUUCAUGAACACGCCGCGACCCAAGCCAAGACCAGGAGCCUCUGGGUGGGCGGCCCGGGCAUCUCCGUGUACUCUGUGGAGCUGGCAGCUGAGAACCUUCACCUUUUCUCUUAAAGGAAGCACUUUACGGCUGCCCUUUGGCACAUCUGAAUUGCCAGCAUCACUACUCUUGUGCUUUCGGGCCAUUAUUAAGUCAAGUAAGGGUGACUUGAACACAAGCACUGCGAUACUGUGACCAGUGAUCUGACACCCGCGAGGACCACUGCGUGACUAGCAAGCGGACAGCGUGUACAGUGUGGAUACACUGGACGAACGAUGAUUCACGUCCCAGGUGCUUGUGCAUUUCGAGAAGGGGCUCUGACAACAUCCCUGAGUAGAAUCCUGAAAACGUCCAAUCCAAGCGUGGUCCUUAGGAAUGCCGUUUUCCAGGAUUUCCAGUUCUCUGCCUUCAGGGGCAUGGUGGGGUUGCACCGCACCUGCCUCUCUGAGGUCAGGUGUGGCCAUGAGCAUUUGCCAGGGGAAUCUGAGUGGAGGUGACAUGUCUCACUUCUGGGGUAAGCCAUGCUCACUCUGCCUCGGUGCCCAGAGAGGCUGCAGUGGCGCAUGCUCUGUCAACCGUGUCUCAGAGCAGCCAAGCGCUGGCUGACCUAUGAUAGGCAUGCAGUGAGAGAGAGGUACACUCUUCUUAGUGUGAGCCGUUGAUUUUAGGGUGGGUAGUUACUAGAUCAUAAUCUGGUGUGUCAUGGCUGAUGCUUCAAGUCUCUGUUCAACCCAAAGAGCCCCGUCCCUCUGUUGAAGGACUUCCCCUGGGUCUCUACCUGGGGUUGAUCUAAGGGACAGGUUUGGAGACCACUGCAGCUGGAUUUGGAAGGGACCCAUUGCUGACCUCAAAGUCACAUUGACCAAAGUAUAUUAAAAAUGGAAAAUUGAAAUUCGGAGAGUAAUGGCACUUGAUAGAUGCAUGGAGAUUUAAUUUUUCAAAGACUUUCCACAUCUAUCAAAAUUUUUCCCCAGAAUAACAACAAAAACAAUACGUGACAGAUUCCAUUUCCCAAUGUCUACCGUCUCAUUUGCUCUUCUGCAAUGCGACCUUGCCAUCCUCCAUCAAGAGGUGAAGUUGAUGUCUCAAUCCUUGAUUCUAGGCUGGACUGGGACUCCUUUGACCAGUAGAAUAAAUCCGGCAGAAGUUAUGCUGUGGUGGUUCUGGGAGUAGCUCUGAACUGGCUGGAAGCUUCUGCUUCCUGCCUGCCUUAUUCAGGCUCUGGGAUGAGACACCAUGUGGAGAGAGAGAGAGAGACAGAGAGAGACAGAGAGAGAGAGAGAAGGAGAGAGAUAGCAAGAAGUAUCGUUGUGCCAAAUGUGCAAGUGAAGAGGCAUACUGGGAAACGGAAUCUCGAGCCCCAGAGGCCCAGGGCUAAGAUGAACGACCCAGCUGGGUCCUUCCCCAAAUCCUUGACCCACACAAUCAUGAGUGAAAUAGAUGGUUGGUUGUAG